rnacentral:misc_RNA from 1 species
CGCACAUUGCGCCCACCAGUAUUCUGGUGGGCAUGCCUGUUCGAGCGUCAUUUCAACCCUCAAGCCCCCGGGCUUGGUGUUGGGGAUCGGCCGCCCCCCGGCGCGCCGGCCCCGAAAUCUAGUGGCGGUCUCGCUGUAGCUUCCUCUGCGUAGUAAUACACCUCGCACCGGAACGCGGUAGGACCACGCCGUUAAACCCCCCACUUCUGAAGGUUGACCUCGGAUCAGGUAGGAAUACCCGCUGAACUUAA